UCGAAAAAGCACUCGUAGGCUGUGAAAUGGUUCGGCGGGGGUUCAUCGGCACGAUCAAAGGGUUCGGGCGCAACGAAUUCGACCGCCUCGGAAAUCCUGCAACGCUGCCUUAGCUUAUGUAGCGAUUCCUCGGUCAAAAGAGAUGAACCAGGCGGAUCCGGUUUCUUCUUUUUAACCUUUCGGAGCUUUGAGGCUUCGAGGGGCCUACC
rnacentral:lncRNA from 1 species